UAAGGAGGGGGCUAGCAUUGUUCGGAAUUACUGGGCGUAAAGGGUGCGUAGGCGGUGCUCUAAGUUUGGUGUGAAAUCUCCCGGCUUAACUGGGAGGGUGCGCCGAAAACUGGAGCGCUGGAGUGCGGGAGAGGAAAGCGGAAUUCCUGGUGUAGCGGUGAAAUGCGUAGAGAUCAGGAGGAACACCUGCGGUGUAGAAGGCUUUAUGGACCGUAACUGACGAUGAGGCAAGAAAGCGUGGGUAGCAAACAGG
rnacentral:rRNA from 1 species